rnacentral:lncRNA from 1 species
AAUUCAAAUUUGUAUCUCAAAAGGCUUUAAAAGAUUUUUAUUUCAAUUUAAACCCUAGGGUUUUCACCCAUUUGAGCUUUGGAUCUCCAAACCAAUAGGGUUUACUUAUAAAAGGGGUUUAUUGCAUAAAUAAGCUAUCCCAUAAUUUUUGGAUAAUUAUUGGGAGUUGAAAAGGUAUUUUAUUUAAAUAGUUAUAUAGCCCUAAAGGCAUUUAUAGAGAAAAUGUAUUUUUAUAUAUUUUAUUUUGAAGGGAAAUCACUCCCAAAAGUCGAAUCAUGAUAAAACAUGAUUUUACAAAUUUUCUGAAAUUUAUUUGGACCAAUUUGGAAUUCAAAAUCAAAAGAUAUCAAAGAAAUAAGAAAAAGGGAAAAAGAAAAGGCUAAAAGAAAAAAAAGGGAAGAAACCAGACCGGCCCAGUUCCGCGCGCCCGAAUUGGACCGAGCCGGCCCAGCCGGCCCCCCCUGUCAGCUGCGUCUUCCCCGAAGGAAAGCGCCGCCGGUCACGCGCGCGAUCCCCGUGUCGCCGCAGUCCUCGCGCUCGCCGUUCCCGACCUUCCCGAAGUGCCCUGACCGCGUCCCUAUAAAGGCCACGGCCCCCUCUCUCUUUUCCCCCUAAAUCCCCUCGCCACCACGUCGCCAGGCCGUCGGAAUCGCUCAUUGGAGCAAGGAGCCGCCGCCGCCGUUUUUGCUUCGGGUCGACACCGCCGGUGAUCCAUGUUGCCCGAACUCGUCAAUUUCUUGAACAUCUCGACCUUGCGCACGUUUUGACGCACGCGGUCUUGCUUUUGUGCCCCCUAGC